CACGCACCUUUCAGUUUGGGCAUGUGCGCAGACGCAUUUUGGGCAGCCGGAGUCUAAAAGGCUCAUCAUCACUGGAAUAUAUCUUCUAUCUAGGUCUUCUCUCUGAUGUAAUUCUUUAGGAAAACUAACUCAAAACCUGUAUUUUCUCUUCAGAUCAAGAUUGGGAAUUGCCUGAAGGCUUGGAUGAAGCAGAAAGAAAAAAUAGCUACAUAAAAAAGAGACACAGAGGAAAAAGUGCAGGAGAGGCUUGAAAUUUUGCACUCUGCAGACCUCCCAAAAAUGGCCCGUUGCAAUACAUAGAAACUGAAGAUCUACAGAAAACAGAAAAAAAUAAAACAUACCAUCUGUUAUCAAGAUAGCAAAUGUAAGUGCUCUGUGCCCUAAAUGUGUCCCCUGGCUCAAGCCAAAAGUAAAAAAGGAUUGUUAAUAGAAUGAUUAAAAAUGAAAUACAUUAUUAAAUAAAUACAUUAUUUGAGAAUAA